rnacentral:rRNA from 1 species
GGAUGGGGGAUAACAGCCGGAAAACGGCUGCUAAUACCGAAUACGAUCUUUUUCGUCGCAUGACGGAAAAGAAGAAAAGGAAAUGGCCUCUAUACAAAGCUAUCGCCGAAGGAGGGGUUUUGCGUCUGAUUAGCUGGUUGGAGGGGUAACGGCCCAACAAGGCGAUGAUCAGUAGCCGGUCUGAGAGGAUGAACGGCCACAUUGGGACUGAGACACGGCCCAGACUCCUACGGGAGGCAGCAGUGGGGGAAUCUUCCGCAAUGGACGAAAGUCUGACGGAGCAACGCCGCGUGAGUGAAGAAGGUCUUCGGAUUGUAAAGCUCUGUUAUACGGGACGAAAAAGACGGAUGCCAACAGUAUCCGUCCGUGACGGUACCGUAAGAGAAAGCCACGGCUAACUACGUGCCAGCAGCCGCGGUAAAU